UACAGAGGGGGCAGGCGUUAUUCGGAAUUAUUGGGCGUAAAGGGCGCGUAGGCGGCUUGGCAAGUGGAUGGUGAAAUCCCUCGGCUUAACCGAGGAACGGCCGUCCAAACUGCUUCGCUUGAGACCGGGAGAGGUGAGUGGAAUUCCCAGUGUAGCGGUGAAAUGCGUAGAUAUUGGGAGGAACACCAGUGGCGAAGGCGGCUCACUGGACCGGUACUGACGCUGAGGUGCGAAAGCGUGGGGAGCAAACAGG
rnacentral:rRNA from 1 species